AACUUGGUCAAUAUAAAAACAUCAAUGUAAUUAUGGUGCUAUUAAUGUGUUCAUAUCUUCCAGGUAUACAAGUCUGUAAGGUAGAAGCUUCAAAAGAACAUUAUAUCAAGCUGGUGUUCUAAAGUUGUAUGGUAAUUUUAGGCUUAAAAAAAAAACAUGUUGGAGAUUUAUUCAUAUCAUUUGUGUUCUACAACUGGACUUGUUAUCAAUAAGAUAUGUACGGUUCCAUGUUACUUUCUACUCUAAGAU
rnacentral:lncRNA from 1 species